rnacentral:piRNA from 1 species
UCGAAUAACAGGUUCAAAGCCUUUAUUC